CGAGGAGGAGGAGGUCUGUGGAGCCCACGCCCAGCAGAUCCACCGAGCAGCCAGAGGUCCGCCCCGGUGGUCACCAACGUGCAUGUGGGAGCCCGGCGGCGCUCGUCGCCGUAUCCAGGAAGUGACUCCCCGUUGUCAACCACAACUUUGCCCACAGUGCCCAGUGCCCACAAUAUGAAGAUGUGGGCUCUGUCUGACAUUUACGGUUCUCCUUCCGCCUUGCUUUGACGUCAAGCUCCCUAAAGAGAUGAGUGGCUGUGAAGAACCCCCGGCCCAGAGACUCCUCGGUAAUGGCCGGGGGGUUCGGGUCACGGAGAUGAC